GACGAACGCUGGCGGCGUGCUUAACACAUGCAAGUCGAGCGGUAAGGCCCUUCGGGGUACGACGAGCGGCGAACGGGUGAGUAACACGUGGGUGACCUGCCCUCAGCUCUGGGAUAAGCCUGGGAAACUAGGGUCUAAUACUGGAUAUGACUCCACGGUGCAUGUCGUGGGGUGGAAAGCCUUGUGCGGCUGAGGAUGGGCCCGCGGCCUAUCAGCUUGUUGGUGGGGGGA
rnacentral:rRNA from 1 species